rnacentral:rRNA from 1 species
ACUCACGUCUUCUCCUCUCACCUUAAGGUACACAUCGCCACUUUACGCAUCUAUAUACCUCCUUGUGGUCACCGCUUCCGCCGAGAGACCAGACAUUGACUGCGACUCCGAGCUUUCGCACCCCUCGUUUGUCCUAAUCUAUGGGACCAUCAGGUGCGGCAUUUGCUACUCACGAUUCACAACCUCCCAAAGGCGGGAAGUCACGGCGCGAUAUACGACACGUCGAUUGCGUAAUUCGUGAGGCGGACCCCUCAUGCUGGCGUUCCAACUUUGAGUUUCCUUAACUGCCCCCGGGCGUGUUCGCCACCUCGUACACCAAAUUAAGCUUCGUUGCGCUUCUUGGAAUGGUCCAGAACUGUAGGAAACUGGUGAGCGACUAUCUCUAUCUCGAAGGGGAAGCCCCCGUUUCACUGUCCACCACGUACCAACAGCAGUCGAGCACAGCACUCUACAACCCAAUUCAGGGCGUUGCUCGCGUUGGGAAUAACAAUCAACGGUAGCGCUUAARUCAACCCGUGAGAUCGUUCUGACGGCCACUGUUUGGCCUCCUUCCACCCCUACUGCAGUUUAGUAGUACGGGGAAUACUGGACCCGAUGUGUGCACGAUGUUACCCUUCAUGUUGCUCAGCGCUUCAGCGCUCCGAUUCGAUUAGAGAAUUUCGAAGAGAGUCAAGCCUAACAUCCGACGUUGAGCGGAUGUACUUCGGCCCGAUCUCGACUAUUAGCGAUCAUUAGCGCCUAGUCGUGCGGCGCCACUUAUGCAAGGGCCCGGAACAUGUGUGGCGGGCAGUGUGGUGCUCUCAAACAUUGUGGGCUUCAGCCACUCCAUUGGAAAACCUCGGUCGGCGGAUUCCACCCUAUCUACUAACCCCAC